UGUGUUUUAUAUUUAAAGACAUUCUAGUAAUUUAUUCUGCAGUCAUCCAUCCCUUCGUUUCCCUAAUUCCAGGGGUAAAACUAAAACUCCGGCUCACUCUGAACCAGACCUUCAAAGUGUGUUGCUUUACUGCUGCCGUUGUUGAUUUUAAGAGCACGGGGUUUUUAUUUAACUUGAUGUAUCUGUGUAAACCAAAAAGUAGGUCUCACAAGUUUCCCUCGGGCGUGCCAGGUUCUCUGGUGAUGCCCACAUUGGCCUCAUGAGCUGGUAAUCUAAGAAUCAUAUAAAGGAGGGAGUGAACAUUGGAAAUUCUGAGGCGAGAGAUGCUAAACACGAGCGUACAGCACUCCCUUGAAAGCGUGGGUUGGACUCUCAACAGUGACAGGAUGUCAAAAAGGGCCUCAAUCCAGCAUCCUUCCUGUUGGUUUUCAUGUCACCAGAGGCAUCUAGCAGGACACUCGGCCGAAGCAGAGGACAGAGCGGACCUCGUUCACUUCUGCCCUUUAUCACUUCCUCGCGAGGUAAAGGCAGGUACUGAAUUACCUGGCACACAGUGAACACACAACAGAUUGGUGUUUGUCUCUUCCCUCUCCCGGGGGGUGUAGACAUAGCUGUUGUCGAUGUGGGUGGUACUGUGCAUGUGUACAUCUAUGUGUAUCUGUUGGAGAAUUAAUGAUGUGGCUAUCAUAAGAACUCAGUCCUAAAAAGAUGGCUUCAUGGAAAUCUCAUCAGUGAUGGUAGUGAAACAGUUACCAGACUACAAUACUGUCCUGUUCUACUAUGUGAAGAAACCAUGAUCCUGCUUACCAUAAAACAGACAGCACCAGAGGCUAAUGUUGCUGCUUUCGUGGUGAAAAAGAAGAGUUAUUGUUUUCCAAAAGUCUGUCUGUGGCCACCUCAGAAGUUCAACUUCCGUCAAGAGAGGGCAGAAGAAACCUAUACCUAGCCAUUAAAGGUAUGCGUGCCUACAUGUGGAUAUCGGCACAGGAAUGCAGUGCCCAUGGAAGCCAGAAGUGUUGAUCCUCUGAAGUCAGAGUUACGGACAGUUGUGAGCGACCUUACUGGGCUCUGGGAUGGCACUUGGGUCCUCUGGAAGAUCAGCAAGUAUUCCUAACUGCUGAGUUUAAGUCUACCCCAUAUUGUUAGUUUUCUUGUUAUGACUAAAGCAGGUAUAGUUAAAUACUUCUAGAAGGUUACCAUAGGCUAGCACCACUGCCCUAGUCCAUUUGCUUGCUCCACUGAACCCAUGUUUGAAGGCCACAUGACCAAUGGUGAGCUGCCUGCCUGAGGUCUCUGCACUUCACUUGCAGGGCCUGGUUUCCUACUGUGAGUAGAAAUGCUAAAUCGGAAGGUGCAUGAAACUUGUAUUUUAAUACAUGUCACCAAACUACUCUCCCAAAAAUCCACGUGACAACUAACAGAGAUUUUUCAAUUGAACACAUACCAUGUGGCAGGCAUUAUACUGUAUAUCAUUUAAAUCUUAGUGUGAUUUUUUAAAUGGAUUUUAUCUUCAUUAUAUCAUAUGAUGAAAAUGAGGUACAGAUAAAUAAAGUUAUGUGCAGAAGUCCCACAAGAAAAAGGUGGCAGAGGAAGAUUUGAUUCAGAUCUGAGUCAAAAUAGACCACAUACUUUCCAAUGCCUUCAAAAUUAAAAUUAACUAGGGCCAUUAAAAUUACCCACAAAUCUGCUAGAUUUAGAAGGGAUUGAAUACAUGAUCCCCACAUUUGCUUGCUUGCCUAUAAAAUGAGACUACCACAAUUCAGGCAGCAUCUCAGGUUUCUGUACUCUCUGGCAUUGGUCCCCGAGGGAUGCUGGGAUGUCUGCAUAUGAGCAGUUUGGGAUGGAAGUAUGUUCCUCCUUCAUAUUUGCAGGUAUCAGAUAAAGACAUAGAUUCUAGGUAGAGACAGAAGCUUUUAGCUGAGUUGGAGCUUAUCCAACUGCCUCAUAUAUAGCCCAGACUUUUUAAUGGGUUCUGUCUUUAGACAUGUCCAGAGGGAAGAGACCAUUAGCAGGAAUAUGUGGUUUGGAUAUAAAAUGCUGUAAAUGCAGAGUUUAGCCUUUAGCAUUGUGGUUCUAGGGAUCAUGCCAUACAGCAGAUUCAGGAUCAUUACAAGGUAACAGUAAACAAGAGACUCCCCCAAAUGCAUGGAAACUGUAAUUCUGCACUCACAAGAUGACGUCACACACACACACCUGUUCUCUGUUCCCGAAUCUGUAGUGAAUAGACCUAGGAUGAUAAUUUUCAUACAUUGUUCCUUGUUAAAAACAUGGCUCGCCAAGCUUCAUCUUAACAGAGUUUUUAAUUCACUGGGUUUCUGAUAGCAGCAGCAUUCUGGACUUGUUCUAAAACCCCCAGUUGGUUCUAAAUGGAGGGGUUCCUAGGCUCCCUUUGAGAAACAAACACCACACCUGGCUGAUGUGGCAGAGGUGGGGAAAGGGGUUUCAUCUCUUAGCUUGCAAAUGGCCUUGCAGAUGUUCAAUUAUGGAGCAGAAGAAAAAUGGCUAAGAGGUUAGAAUAGGCAGACUGGGAGAGGCAUUUCCUUUGGGGUGUAUUUUUCUCCUGCAUGUAAUUACUGAUGCUAUCAAAGCCUGUACACAUUGUAUUCUGUUGUCACUGUUACUGAAAUUAUACUUCGAAGUUAAGCCCUAUUUAUUGAUAUCAGAAUAAAUCCAGGGAAAUUGGUAAAAUAAACACCAUCAUAAAACCUU